rnacentral:rRNA from 1 species
GACGAACGCUGGCGGCGUGCUUAACACAUGCAAGUCGAACGCUGAAGCUCAGCUUGCUGGGUGGAUGAGUGGCGAACGGGUGAGUAACACGUGAGUAACCUGCCCUCUUCUUUGGGAUAACGCCCGGAAACGGGUGCUAAUACUGGAUAUUCACUGAUUCUCGCAUGGGGGUUGGUGGAAAGGUUUUUUCUGGUGGGGGAUGGGCUCGCGGCCUAUCAGCUUGUUGGUGGGGUGAUGGCCUACCAAGGCUUUGACGGGUAGCCGGCCUGAGAGGGUGACCGGUCACAUUGGGACUGAGAUACGGCCCAGACUCCUACGGGAGGCAGCAGUGGGGAAUAUUGCACAAUGGGCGAAAGCCUGAUGCAGCGACGCCGCGUGAGGGAUGGAGGCCUUCGGGUUGUAAGCCUCUUUCGCUCAUGGUCAAGCCGCAGCUUUGGGUUGUGGUGAGGGUAGUGGGUAAAGAAGCGCCGGCUAACUACGUG